rnacentral:tRNA from 1 species
CGGAAUGUGGCUCAGUUUGAUAGAGCGUCGCAUUUGGGAUGCGAAGGUCGCAGGUUCAAAUCCUGUCAUUCCGA